rnacentral:rRNA from 1 species
AACGAACGCUGGCGGCAGGCCUAACACAUGCAAGUCGAGCGAGGACUUCGGUUCUAGCGGCGGACGGGUGAGUAACGCGUGGGAAUGUGCCCUUCUCUACGGAAUAGCCCUGUGAAGCUGGGGGUAAUGCCGUAUACGCCCUAUUGGGACAAGAUUUAUCGGAGAAGUGUAAGCCCGCGUUGGUUUAGGUAGUGGGUGGUGUAAUGGCCUACCAAGCCGACGAUCCAUAGCUGGGUUGAGAGGAUGAGCAGCCACACUGGGACUGAGACACGGCCCAGACUCCUACGGGAUGCAGGAGUGGGGAAUCUUAGACAAUCGGGGCAACCCUGAACGAGCCAUGCCGGUUGAGUGAUGAAGUCCGUAGAGUUGUAAAGCUCUUUCAGCUGGGAAGAUAAUGACGGUACCAGCAGAAGAAGCCCCGGCUAACUCCGUG